rnacentral:rRNA from 1 species
CUGGGAGGACCAUCUCCUAAGGCUAAAUACUCUCUAGUGACCGAUAGUGAACCAGUACCGUGAGGGAAAGGUGAAAAGCACCCCGGAAGGGGAGUGAAAUAGAACCUGAAACCGUGUGCUUACAAGUAGUCAGAGCCCGUUAAUGGGUGAUGGCGUGCCUUUUGUAGAAUGAACCGGCGAGUUACGAUUUGAUGCAAGGUUAAGCAGUAAAUGUGGAGCCGUAGCGAAAGCGAGUCUGAAUAGGGCGUUUAGUAUUUGGUCGUAGACCCGAAACCAGGUGAUCUACCCUUGGUCAGGUUGAAGUUCAGGUAACACUGAAUGGAGGACCGAACCGACUUACGUUGAAAAGUGAGCGGAUGAACUGAGGGUAGCGGAGAAAUUCCAAUCGAACCUGGAGAUAGCUGGUUCUCUCCGAAAUAGCUUUAGGGCUAGCCUCAAGUGAUGAUUAUUGGAGGUAGAGCACUGUUUGGACGAGGGGCCCCUCUCGGGUUACCGAAUUCAGACAAACUCCGAAUGCCAAUUAAUUUAACUUGGGAGUCAGAACAUGGGUGAUAAGGUCCGUGUUCGAAAGGGAAACAGCCCAGACCACCAGCUAAGGUCCCAAAAUAUAUGUUAAGUGGAAAAGGAUGUGGCGUUGCCCAGACAACUAGGAUGUUGGCUUAGAAGCAGCCAUCAUUUAAAGAGUGCGUAAUAGCUCACUAGUCGAGUGACACUGCGCCGAAAAUGUACCGGGGCUAAACAUAUUACCGAAGCUGUGGAUUGUCCUUUGGACAAUGGUAGGAGAGCGUUCUAAGGGCGUUGAAGCAUGAUCGUAAGGACAUGUGGAGCGCUUAGAAGUGAGAAUGCCGGUGUGAGUAGCGAAAGACGGGUGAGAAUCCCGUCCACCGAUUGACUAAGGUUUCCAGAGGAAGG